GACUUCUUUCCGGAGGCAGCAGUAGGGAAUCUUCCACAAUGGACGAAAGUCUGAUGGAGCAACGCCGCGUGAGUGAAGAAGGGUUUCGGCUCGUAAAACUCUGUUGUUAAAGAAGAACAUAUCUGAGAGUAACUGUUCAGGUAUUGACGGUAUUUAACCAGAAAGCCACGGCUAACUACGUGCCAGCAGCCGCGGUAAUACGUAGGUGGCAAGCGUUGUCCGGAUUUAUUGGGCGUAAAGCGAGCGCAGGCGGUUUUUUAAGUCUGAUGUGAAAGCCUUCGGCUCAACCGAAGAAGUGCAUCGGAAACUGGGAAACUUGAGUGCAGAAGAGGACAGUGGAACUCCAUGUGUAGCGGUGAAAUGCGUAGAUAUAUGGAAGAACACCAGUGGCGAAGGCGGCUGUCUGGUCUGUAACUGACGCUGAGGCUCGAAAGUAUGGGUAGCAAACAGGAUUAGAUACCCUGGUAGUCCAUACCGUAAACGAUGAAUGCUAAGUGUUGGAGGGUUUCCGCCCUUCAGUGCUGCAGCUAACGCAUAAGCAUCCGCCUGGAUACGCGAC
rnacentral:rRNA from 1 species